rnacentral:rRNA from 1 species
UGGAAGUAAAAAGUCGUAACAAGGUCUCCGUAGGUGAACCUGCGGAGGGAUCAUUACACAAAUAUGAAGGCGGGCUGGAACCUCUCGGGGUUACAGCCUUGCUGAAUUAUUCACCCUUGUCUUUUGCGUACUUCUUGUUUCCUUGGUGGGUUCGCCCACCACUAGGACAAACAUAAACCUUUUGUAAUUGCAAUCAGCGUCAGUAACAAAUUAAUAAUUACAACUUUCAACAACGGAUCUCUUGGUUCUGGCAUCGAUGAAGAACGCAGCGAAAUGCGAUAAGUAGUGUGAAUUGCAGAAUUCAGUGAAUCAUCGAAUCUUUGAACGCACAUUGCGCCCUUUGGUAUUCCAAAGGGCAUGCCUGUUCGAGCGUCAUUUGUACCCUCAAGCUUUGCUUGGUGUUGGGCGUCUUGUCUCUAGCUUUGCUGGAGACUCGCCUUAAAGUAAUUGGCAGCCGGCCUACUGGUUUCGGAGCGCAGCACAAGUCGCACUCUCUAUCAGCAAAGGUCUAGCAUCCAUUAAGCCUUUUUUCAACUUU